CCUACGGGGUGCAGCAGUGAGGAAUAUUGGUCAAUGGGCGCGAGCCUGAACCAGCCAAGUAGCGUGAAGGAUGACUGCCCUACGGGUUGUAAACUUCUUUUAUAAAGGAAUAAAGUGAGGCACGUGUGCCUUUUUGUAUGUACUUUAUGAAUAAGGAUCGGCUAACUCCGUGCCAGCAGACGCGGUAAUACGGAGGAUACGAGCGUUAUCCGGAUUUAUUGGGUUUAAAGGGAGCGUAGAUGGGUUGUUAAGUCAGUUGGGAAAGUUUGGGGCUCAACCGUAAAAUUGCAAUUGAUACUGGCAGUCUGGAGUACAGUUGAGGUAGGCGGAAUUCGUGGUGUAGCGGUGAAAUGCUUAGAGAUCACGAAGAACUCCGAUUGCGAAGGCAGCCUACUAAACUGCCACUGACAUUGAUGCUCGAAAGUGUGGGUAUCAAACAGGAUUAGAUACCCUUGUAGUC
rnacentral:rRNA from 1 species